rnacentral:rRNA from 1 species
AUUGAACGCUGGCGGCAGGCCUAACACAUGCAAGUCGAACGGUAACAGGAAGAAGCUUGCUUCUUUGCUGACGAGUGGCGGACGGGUGAGUAAUGUCUGGGAAACUGCCUGAUGGAGGGGGAUAACUACUGGAAACGGUAGCUAAUACCGCAUAACGUCGCAAGACCAAAGAGGGGGACCUUCGGGCCUCUUGCCAUCGGAUGUGCCCAGAUGGGAUUAGCUAGUAGGUGGGGUAACGGCUCACCUAGGCGACGAUCCCUAGCUGGUCUGAGAGGAUGACCAGCCACACUGGAACUGAGACACGGUCCAGACUCCUACGGGAGGCAGCAGUGGGGAAUAUUGCACAAUGGGCGCAAGCCUGAUGCAGCCAUGCCGCGUGUAUGAAGAAGGCCUUCGGGUUGUAAAGUACUUUCAGCGGGGAGGAAGGGAGUAGAGUUAAUACCUUUGCUCAUUGACGUUACCCGCAGAAGAAGCACCGGCUAACUCCGUG